UAGGCACACUCUAUGACAUUUGACCAUGAAUCAUCAGAGAUAACGUAGGCAAAACUGCCCGCUGCGUUAAGUAAAGGUAGAAUGGGCGUGAGCAAAAUGUUAUCAGACGUACAGCAAUCGCCGAAAGACAAAAUAAAGCAAAUGCUGCUUAUUCCCAAGAAUAAAUUCAGACGAGAGAGAUGAAGUAAGAAACAUACGCCCUUGGAGUAUGUCAUGCGCUCGUAGCGCAUGGCACCGACUGUGCUGUCCAGUAGGGAAUCAGGGUAUAAUGGAGUUGAUGGCCUAGACCCUUCUACAUAAACUACAAUUGCGAUGCUUUCGUUUUGCUUUUCUCCUCUGGUGAGACAUAGUAUUUAACCUCUCCUUGUCCAGAGUGAUUCAUUUGCUGGGAGUUGACGCUAUGUCCGUGUGUUUCGCUUGCAUUUGCGUGUUUUUUAUUUGGCUGUCCAUCAUUUACUGCCCAUUAAUCUACUAAUGUCUUGGCACAAAACACCACGGUCCAUAUUUUUGUGUUUCAGCUGGCGUUGCUGUAUAUGGGACUACGUAGGUGAACAACUGUAAUCGAGGCGCGGACGGCCAGUGGUUCGGAAGCAACAUCUGGGGUGACCAAAUAGGGCGAUAACUUCUAGGGUGUUCACUUUCGGAGGCGAUCACACCUAAUCUGUGUGCGUAUACAGCCGAAAGCGUUUCUGGCUUUGUGUCAAGCUCGCUUUCUAAUGAUGCACAGAAUACAGUUACAGUUGCUUGUCCUCAUCUCUUUCCCCGUGCUUCUCACAUACGUGUGCAUUGACUUCUUUUUCAUUGGUGCCGGCAACAAACGGCACGAGAUCGAUAUGCUCGUGUCCUGCACGCAUCUGUCGGAGGAUGACGAUCCUGACCUCUCGGGAGUCAUCACCAGGUCAAGCGGGGGAGGCAGCACGGGGGCCGACUGCACGAGUCAAACAAGCAAGGGCCAUCAUAUGGUCAAAGAAUCCCGUCCUGUAGACGUUCAUGGGCACAUUGUCCGGAGGACUCGGGUCGGAAAGUGUCCCUUAUCGGCACCGGAUUACCUCGACCCAUUUCUCGACUCACUGGUUACACUCGAACAUCGCCUCUGGUGACAGGCUGCACAGCGUUAUCAGGUCCACUGCAGUGUGAAAGGUCCACCAGGCUCCUGCAGCAGUGAGGUGAACAGCAUCCGUUGCCGCAUACGCAUGUGCCAGCGGCGAACAAGAGCAACGUGCUCGCCGUACGUGGCGAUGAUGGCGAGGAUCUCCCCACCGCGGACUCGGAACCACAAUCCCUCGAUCGGGAGCAACUUGCUGCCGGACCGCCGAACAGCCGCUGACCCAGGCUGGAGAAGUUCAGCUGGAACGUCAGGUCUCGAACUUGCGUCACAGUGGCCACAUUUAUCGCCACGACAACGAGGCAAUUGACACACUUGUUGGAAAUGCCGAUAAACGCUUGGUUACACAUACACACAAAUAAAGAGACUCAUGACAGCGCUGGUCACAAGACCAGAAGAGGACGACGACGGCGGCUUUUAGCGCCGAUGACGUGCAAGACGACUCACGCUUUUGUACCACGAGUCCGACUAAUAAGUAUUUGCCGCGUAGAUCUUCACUAGCCAUAGGAGAGGUUGGGACGGGUCAUCGAAAUAGAGCAUCGGUAACACAGGCUCACCAAGGUACGCUGUUGGUAACGGCAGAGGAAACGCAAUGAGUGAAACGUUGGCGGAUGGCAUGAAUAGCCCAAAGAACGAAAAAUCACGCACGGCGGCAAAAUGUGAUGUUCAUGGGAGCGUAUUAUAUUCGCGCAAUGUGUUUUUCACCAAGUCACCAAGGUGUUCAGGGACCCGUUCAAGCCUGUACUGCACAACGCAGAUUCUGUGUAGUGCGCGUUAGAGACUUCGUAAUUUAAAUUUGUGCAAGUGGAGCACAAGUAGUGAUAUGAAUUCAUAAUCAGGCUAUCUUAAUGUCCAGCGUUCUCCCAUUACCACUAUCCUGUGCCAGCUAUUUCCAACUUGCACAUGCGAAUUUUCUCAUCAUCCCACCUCGACUGCACUUUCCUUUUCUUGGCACCCAUUUGGUAACUAUUACGGUCCACCGGUUAUCCCUUCUACGCAUUACAUAGCCAGCCCAGCUCCAUUGUUAUCUCUUCAUGUCUAUUACAAUAGCGGCUAUCCUUGUUUACCGUCUGAUCACAGCGCUCUUUUCCUCUCUGUUAAUGUUACGACUAACAUUCUUCGUCCCAUUGCUCUUUAUGCGGUCUUGUUCUCGAGCUUCGUUGUCAACCUCGAUGUUUCGGCCCCAUACGUUGGCACUGGUAGAAUGCAGUGAUUGUAUACUUUU